AAAGUUUGAUCCUGGCUCACAUUGAACGCUGGCGGGGGGCUUAACACUUGCUAGCCGAACGCGAAAGGGACUUCGGUCCUGAGCAAAGUGGCGCACGGGUGAGUAACACGUGGAUAAUCUGCCCCUAUGAUCGGGAUAACAUGACGGAAACGGAUGCUAAUACCGGAUACGCUCAAAAUGAACUUUUUGAGGAAAGGUGACCUCUGCUUGCAUGUUACCGUAUAGGGAUGAGUCCGCGGCCCAUUAGCUUGUUGGCGGGGUAAAGGCCUACCGAGGCAACGAUGGGUAGCCGAUUUGAGAGGAUGAUCGGCCACACUGGGACUGAAACACGGCCCAAAGUCCUACGGGAGGCAGCAGCGGGGGAAUAUUGCGCAAUGGGCGAAAGCCUGACGCAGCCACGCCGCGUGAGGGAUGAAGGCUUUCGGAUCGUAAACCUCUGUAAAAAGGUAAAAAACCGCACUGUGCUAAUCCGCAGGGGCCUUGACGGUACCUUCCAAGGAAGCAGCGGUCUAACUCCCGGGCAAGCAGCCGCGGGUAAUACGGAGGAGUGCCAAGCGUUUAAUCCGGAAUUACUGGGGGGUAAAAGGCGCACCGUAGGCCUGCGUUUUGUAAGUCCAAGGGGCGAACAUCCCCACCGCGUUCAACCCGUAGGAAACUGGCCUUUUUGGAUACCUGCCGUAGGCACUGGAAUCCCG
rnacentral:rRNA from 1 species